rnacentral:rRNA from 29 species
AAAACUUUCAACAACGGAUCUCUUGGUUCUGGCAUCGAUGAAGAACGCAGCGAAAUGCGAUAAGUAAUGUGAAUUGCAGAAUUCAGUGAAUCAUCGAAUCUUUGAACGCACAUUGCGCCCCUUGGUAUUCCGAGGGGCAUGCCUGUUCGAGCGUCAUUAC